rnacentral:rRNA from 1 species
CAGCAGCCACGGGAAUACGUAGGGUGCAAGCGUUAAUCGGAAUUACUGGGCGUAAAGCGUGCGCAGGCGGUUUGUUAAGACAGAUGUGAAAUCCCCGGGCUCAACCUGGGAACUGCAUUUGUGACUGGCAAGCUAGAGUAUGGCAGAGGGGGGUGAAAUUCCGCGUGUAGCAGUGAAAUGCGUAGAUAUCGGAAGGAACACCUGUGGCGAAAGCGGCUCACUGGACCAUUUCUGACGCUGAUGCACGAAAGCUAGGGGAGCAAACAGGAUUAGAUACCCGCGUAGUCCCUGUCUCUUAUAC